AUGUUACAUCCUUAUCAUUCAAGGAAUUACAAAGCUUUACAUUUAAAUUCAAAAAGAGAAUUGCAAGUUUCAAGUCAUGUCAUGUAUUCUUCAUUCAAGUUUCAAGGUCAUCACAAGGUGUUACAAGUCAAUAGACCAUUUCUCACUCAAGUUCAAAAAUUACAAAAAUUCAACUUUCAUGCUUAA